UGAACGUGGCCCAGAAGAGCCAGGCUAGGGAGACGGGGCCACGGCUGGACCCAACAUCCAACGUCUGUCCCGACAGAGCAGUGCAUCGUGGAGGAGUCGCCAGUGAAGCCCCCAGAGUCCAAAGAAAACUCCUACAAAAGUCGCCUGGUAGAGACGGUAGGUUUGCGAAAGGGAACAAGACACCCAGAAGCCCUCAGAACCCCAGAACAACCAGACCCUACAGGGUCCAGGGCUACUCGGUCACAGACAGACCGGUGGCAGGGCCCUCUCACGGGCAGGACGGCAUGGCCCUGAGAGGCAGCCCCUUCAGAUUCCCAGCCAGGAGGAGCCUGGUGUUGGAACUCCAAAAGGAGUGCCCUCUGAAGGGCAUCCUGAGGACCCCCGGUCAUGACCUUACUGGAUUCUCUUUCUCCCUCCGGAGCUCGCCAACUCCAGAGCCCACCCUGCUCCAGAACGCCCAGGAAGUGUGUCACCUGGUCAUCGUCUCCACAGAAACCCAGAGUUACAGAAAGGAACGCACCCUUCAAGGUGCCGGAGUCGCCUCUUCUUUUCACCCGAAGCUUUCCUGUUGAUGAACACACCCAACAAAUUCUGCAGUCUGCUCAAGAGUCCUAGACGCAAACAGGCAAUUUUUAUGACUCCAGCAAAAAUAGCCCAGAGAAGGAACAGAAAUUCCUCACAAGUGUCUCUGUCUAGGAUUCCAGAAAAUUCUGCUGUGGUUGGCGCUGAAACAACGCCAGAGAAAAGUGAAUAUCAGAGGUCUUCCGAAUGGCAUAUGGGAAAGUUCAACACACCUGUUAAGGAGGAGCAGGACCUCCCUGAUGGUCCCCAGAAAUCCCCCUCUUCUUGUUCCACACCACCUCCUGACCACUUUUCCCCACCCACUCCCACCACCACAACCCCCAGGAAAUCUCCAAGCCUUGGCCCCCGCACGCUCACUUGCUCUGGAAAGACUCUCUCCAUGUCUCAACACCAAAGCAUGCUCACACCAACAAAGGCCACCUCCGUAAUGUCAAAGUUCAACUGAAUAAAACGACUGUUGCCAUCUCUAUAGGAUCAAGGAUUAUCAAAAGCCGUGCUAUAAUUUCUCAGACAACCCAAAGAUUCCUAGAUUUUUCACUCGUUUUGCACGAGUGCUGCCAUCUCUCCACGGUUUCUGGUUUGGGUAGGUUUAAAUAGUCACAGUGGGUAUAAUGUUUCCUAUACAUUUCCUGAUGAACUCAGUCAUCGUAUCCAUGCAUUCGCAUUAGCUAGUUAACGCUAAUUGCUAACAUUAGGCACUUCAAGAAGCUAAGUAAACAGAAUGAUCAUUACACAGGUGCACUUUGUGCUGGGCGCAGUUUUGUCACACAACAUAAUGCCACAGAUACCUUAGGUUUUGAGGGGACAGGCAAUUGGAACAUUAGGCAAGGCUUGACCAUGCAAACCAGUUCUGUUAUGUCAUAAACCUCUUAUUUUGUUAAUUUCUAGUUACAAUUUCUGUACCUGUCACAAUUUUUUAAACAAGCUGCUAGUUAUAUUAUUUUAUCACAGUUUUGGUUCAUGACUGGACACAGUGAACGGGCAGUAAACCUAACUGCUUUAAAAGUGUCCAGGUUUUUCCUGGCCAACUCCAUUGUCCUUUCCUUAUCAGCAAGUAUAUGUGAUAAAAGGCACCUGAUAGUCUAAAUCAGAAAUCACCCUAUCCUGUUCAAAGGUCAGAGCUGUAAAGCACAUUAUUCUAAACGACAGACAAUCAUUGCCUACAGAAGGUACACACCCAUUUACUUUUUGCACAUUGUGUUGUGACAGCCUGAAUUUAAAAUGGAUUAAACUGAGAUGUGUUUGUCACUGGCCUACACACAU